AGGGUGAGGGGGCGGGGUUCUUCUCCUUUCAUUGUGUGAGUAUGUGUAUGUGCUUUUGUGCUUGCUUUAAAGUUUGUGUGGACUGGCUGGUAGAGAGACCUCACUCGAUGGAGGAGUAAGACGUAGAGCCCAGCAGCAGAGCGGCGUGACGACUGACGGGGUCGAAGACAGGAAGCUGGAAGUUGGAGGAAGUCUGUAAUGUAGAGGUUCACCGCGACAGCCUGAGGAGAACGCCUCCCUCAGCACCUCCCACACCUCCAUCAUGACGGACAGCCAACACCCAGGCGUGCCUUCCCCUUCGCUCUCUUCAAAUGCUCACCACAAUGGCAGGAUUGGGGGGGCGGUGUCCAAAAGUCCCAUGACCCCUGAUCAAAAUGGUAGUCUGGAUCCAGGACCAGGACCCCGCAGUCCCAGUAAAGUCAGCAGCAGGACGCUGACCUCCACCUCACCCCUGAGGACCCUCAGGACUCUCGAAGGCCUUGUGAGUCCAGCAGGUCCCAGUCCUGAAGGCAGCACCGUCAGACCUCGGGGACAGAGCCUUAGCUCUGCACUCAGCUCCAGAAUGAGAAUCACGACCCCCAGAAGCAAGCGUAGGAGCAGCCAGCAGGGGGAGCCAGAGGCCCUGUUGGACCUGAUCCUGGAGUCUCAGUGUAAGAGGCUGGACGACCAGAGAGCCAGCGUCAGCCUGCUGCCUGAUCCAGAACCAGCUGCUCUUUGCGGGGCCUGCAGUCCAGAUCAGCCCCCUGUGCCCAGCCUGGACUUCUACUACAUGCUCAUACACUACCAGUCUGACAGGAUGGAGGACCAGAGGUGUUCCCUCCCAGACCUGGAUGACGUGCUCAGUCCGGUUCCUGAUGGUCAGGAGGACUUCUUCUCUUUGGUCCAGAGAGUCCAGUCCAGGAGGAUGAAUGAGCAGCGAGCUUCACUGCUGCUGAGGAACAGUGAGGAGGACCCGGACGCACAAUCUGCUAGCUCCUCCCUCCAUCAUCAUCAUCAUCAUCAUCACUGAUGAAGCCCCGAGUCUGAUUGGGUGGAGCGACUGAAUUCUAGUUCCCUUGAAGGAGUAGCAUUUGUUGUUGAGUGUGGCUCUGGCUCCUCAGACUGAAACCAGGACCGCAGUGAUCCUGGACUCGGGCCCAUGAAGGUUUUAGUCUGCGUGUAGGACAAACUGCUGUCAGAAAUAAUCUUAAUUUUUACUAACACACCUGUAACACAUGUCACAUGACCAGGAAUCACAGGUUGGUUUCUGUACGAAAGAAGAAAAAAAUGCUCUGAGGUUUGAUUUGAUGUUUGGAAGUUUGUUUCAAUCAAACUUAGGGCUGCAAACACUUCUGUGCGGAUGACCCUGGGUAAGUGGGGCUGUGUGGGUGGGGCAAACCCAUAUUUAUCCCACACAGCGCCCACAGCAUAUUUGCCCUUCAAGGCUAGUGGGGAUGCCGGUGUGGGCUUUCCCACAGGAAACCCACAUUAGUGGCCAAGAGAGGCGUGUUUGGUGGGGCAAGCUGAGGUUUAACUGCAUUAGAAGGUGAACAUGGGCAUCCCUGUGAUGCUGGAGUAGGGAGGGUGUAGGUCGUGGGUGUGGGUGUGAGGUCUGAGGUGUGAGGCGUGAAGCACGCGUGUUGGUGUGAGGGGCAAACGUAGUGAUGGUUAACAAGAACCCUUGGGGGCGCAGGACACGACUCAUUAAGUCAUGUGACUGGCGCGGGGGAGGGGGGGGGGGCAUUCUGGUAGAUGUAGUGAAGUUUAGUAACCGAUACUUUCAGCUUUAAAAGGACAAAGCCUUAAUGAGGUCAUCAUAUCCAUCAGCUGUUGCUCCUCCCACCACAAUGCUGUACAGGAAACAGCUGUUUACUUCCUGUUUGUUCUGUGGUCCCUAACUCAAACUAACAAGGUGACUGAAUGCAGACCAGCCGACGAUGCACUUACUGACUGCAUGAUAAACACUCUGUAUGUAAACGUCACCCUGGACCUGUGAACCUGUGACCUGAUCUGUGUCCUGUUUCACCUGUACUCACCUGAGUCUGUAGUAACUGCAGAAAUGUGACCUUUAACCUCGUGGUGCUGAUUUAAAUAAUCUCUCUAACAAACAUCUCAGCUUGUAUUUCACUGUCAAACUUCAUUCAAACAUGCGGCUCACAGACGCGAUGUCAGGCUCUCCCACCUGUAAACACCUGACAUGUUUACCAACCACAGGCGUCGGUCUGGAGCUGAAGCCUCUCUGUGACCUCUGACCUCUGUAAGCUGGAAAAGUCUGAUCGUAAAGAGAAAUGUUUCAUCAGGUGUGAUCCUCCUCCUUGUUGCCUGGUAACAGCUUUCUCACCCUCCCAGUCACUCAUAAAAGCAAAGCUGGUUCAAAUCUGACCAGAGAUUUCACAUUUCAGUCAUCUGACUGCAGACAAACGAAGCCGCCUCCUGUUGUUGCUUGGAGGCCACCUUUGAUCAGGACCAAACAUGUCCUGAUCCAGAAUAAUCGGAUUUGUUCGGAGUGGUGCGACAGCAACAUAGAUUUCAAUUCAAUUAAAUUCAAUGUUCGCGCCAAAUCACAACAUCAGUCACCUCAAGGUGCUUUAUAUUGUACAGUAGAUCGUACAAUAAUAGAUACAGAGAAAAACCCAACAAUCA